UACAGAGGGUGCAAGCGUUGUCCGGAUUUAUUGGGCGUAAAGAGCGUGUAGGCGGUCAGGUAGGUCCGUUGUGAAAACUCGAGGCUCAACCUCGAGACGCCGAUGGAAACCAUCUGACUAGAGUCCGGAAGAGGAGAGUGGAAUUCCUGGUGUAGCGGUGAAAUGCGCAGAUAUCAGGAAGAACACCCGUGGCUAAGGCGGCUCUCUAGUACGGUACUGACGCUGAGACGCGAAAGCGUGGGGAGCGAACAGG
rnacentral:rRNA from 1 species